rnacentral:rRNA from 1 species
CGCAUCUGUGCAUGCAGCAUAUCAAUAAGCGGAGGAAAAGAAACUAACAAGGAUUCCCUUAGUAACGGCGAGUGAAGCGGGAAGAGCUCAAAUUUGAAAUCUUCAAGGUUCUACCUUGACGAAUUGUAGUUUAAAGAAGUGCUUUUCUGUUAGAUGAGUAGCAAAAGUUCCUUGGAAUGGGACAUCAUAGAGGGUGAGAAUCCCGUAUUUGGUUAUUCAUUCUAGCUUUGUGAUACACUUUCAAAGAGUCGGAUUGUUUGGGAAUGCAGUCCAAAAUGGGUGGUAAAUUUCAUCUAAAGCUAAAUAUUGGCGAGAGACCGAUAGCGAACAAGUACCGUGAGGGAAAGAUGAAAAGAACUUUGAAAAGAGAGUUAAACAGUACGUGAAAUUGUCAAAAGGGAAGCGUUUGGACACCAGUGUUGUUUUUUCUGAAAAUCAAUUAAAGAACUGUUUAUGCUAAGCUGUUUAGACUUUAUCAGCUAUCUGCUUAGUUUUGAGCUUUUCUUUAAUGCACUUUUCAGUUAACAAGUCAACAUCAAUUUCUUUUGCUGUAAAAAAGCUUGAGGAAGGUGGCUUGAGAUUCGUCUUAAGUGUUUAUAGCCUCUUGCCUAUGCAGUCGGAGAGAUUGAGGUCUGCAGCGUAGAUCCUUCGGGGCUAAAUGCAUUUGUGCUAAGUUAUAGCAUUUUAUAGACAACUUGUUGACUAUGAUUUGUCUUGUAGCUUACUCGCUUAUGUUAUUUUACCUACGCUUAGGAUGUUGAACUCUAUCACACACAG